AUGGAUGCAGCAAACUACUGUGAUAAACGGUGGAUAUUUGUGGCAGUUUCUGACCAGGGUGUCUCUGUGUUUGCAGGUGUCCAGUGUGAGGUGCAGCUGGUGGAGUCUGGGGAGGCUUGGUUCAGCCCGGGGGGUCCCUGAGACUCUCCUGUGCAGCCUCUGGAUUCACCUUCAGCGGCUAUGGCAUGCACUGGGUCCGCCAGGCUCCAGGGAAGGGGCUGGAGUGGGUCUCAUACAUUAGUAGUCCUAGUGGUAGUAGCACAUACUACGCAGACUCCGUGAAGGGCCGAUUCACCAUCUCCAGAGACAACGCCAAGAACUCGCUGUAUCUGCAGAUGAACAGCCUGAGAGCCGAGGACACGGCCGUGUAUUACUGUGCGAGACACAGUGAGGGGAAGUCAGUGUGA